UGAGAGAGAACGCAUGCAAACAGAGAAAAGACUGCGACGAGGAGGAGUAGUCUCAUUGUAUCGCUACCACCAGCUAGACCCAACGUAGAGGACAAAGAACAAAAAGUUGCUGUGCUGUAUAUGCAAUGAUAUCAGGCCAUGUUGGUGCAAACACUUGUAGCGUGAUCAAGCCUUUGGUUGUCUCAAAUAAACAGCUUGUUUCUUCCAAUGCUUGACCACAAGCUGCCAACACAAAAGCAUCCUACUGUGCCUUAUAAUAAAAAGACAAUUUUCCAGUGAUAUUCAUAAUGAAUGGUAGAAUAAUGAUGAUGAUACAGAGAUAAUAUUGACUGAGUAAUAAUGAUAAUAAUAUAAUUAAUGUUGCUGAUUAUAAUAAUAUGAUGAAUGAAUGAAUGAUAGAUGAUGCUAUAAUAAUGCUGUGAGAAAAAAUGUAUACAUACAGAUGCUACUACACAAA